UUAAAUCACCGGUUCUCGUCCGUUCAGCGAAGUUAAAUAACUUCGAUAAUGAUCAGUACCAAAAUGGGUGACCACCUGGGAAUACCAGGUGCUGUAGG